rnacentral:rRNA from 1 species
UACGUAGGGGGCAAGCGUUGUCCGGAUUUAUUGGGCGUAAAGAGCGUGUAGGCGGCCUGACAGGUCUGCUGUGAAAACUCGAGGCUCAACCUCGAGAUGUCGGCGGAAACCGUCUGGCUAGAGUCCGGAAGAGGAGAGUGGAAUUCCUGGUGUAGCGGUGAAAUGCGCAGAUAUCAGGAAGAACACCUAUGGCGAAGGCAGCUCUCUGGGACGGUACUGACGCUGAGGUGCGACAGCGUGGGGAGCAAACAGG